AGUGAACGCUGGCGGUAGGCCUAACACAUGCAAGUCGAACGGCAGCACAGGAGAGCUUGCUCUCUGGGUGGCGAGUGGCGGACGGGUGAGGAAUACAUCGGAAUCUACUCUGUCGUGGGGGAUAACGUAGGGAAACUUACGCUAAUACCGCAUACGACCUACGGGUGAAAGCAGGGGACCUUCGGGCCUUGCGCGAUUGAAUGAGCCGAUGUCGGAUUUGCUAGUUGGCGGGGUAAAGGCCCACCAAGGCGACGAUCCGUAGCUGGUCUGAGAGGAUGAUCAGCCACACUGGAACUGAGACACGGUCCAGACUCCUACGGGAGGCAGCAGUGGGGAAUAUUGGACAAUGGGCGCAAGCCUGAUCCAGCCAUACCGCGUGGGUGAAGAAGGCCUUCGGGUUGUAAAGCCCUUUUGUUGGGAAAGAAAUCAAGCUGGCUAAUACCCGGUUGGGAUGACGGUACCCAAAGAAUAAGCACCGGCUAACUUCGUGCCAGCCGCCGCGGUAA
rnacentral:rRNA from 1 species